rnacentral:lncRNA from 1 species
AAAAUAUAUCACAGAGGAUUGUGAAAUCAAGCCUGGAAUAUCCAAAAAUCUAACAAUUGCCUUUCCAUGUUCAGAAUUGAAUCAAUUAUUUAAACGAAGCAACAACAUAAAUAAAAUACAAACAUAUUAUUAUGGAGGUAAGAAUAAAGUAACAGGGCUGUGAGUUACUGAUAUGCAACAAACCUCUUCAUUGGCCACUUACAUUUCUCGCACGUGACAACUUUCAUCGUCAACGCUUCUUCAAACGGAACAACCGCCGUGUGACUCAGUUCACACGGCUUCUCCGCCGCAAUCUCAAUCGCCUCCGUAAAACCCAACCCCUUCGCAUACUCUCCCCACCGCACAAUCUUUCUCAUCCUCUCCGUCAUCUUCUCUCCAUCAACCGUCUCCGCAGUUGAUCCAUUCCCAAUGAUUCCCCAACCUCUAUGUUUCCCGUAAUCGAAGUCGAGAAGGUUCCUAACUUCUUCAAAAACACGAUCAGGUUUCGAUGGUUCAAUUACAAUCCGCUUGAGUUUUGAUCUUUCGAUGCUUUCUAAUCGGAGCCAGAAGAGCUGUUGCAAUGUAGGACUGAACAAAAUUGAGCUCUCUUCCAUGGCUCGCUCGUCUCGUCUCUGGUUGCUUAGAUCUCUCUUCCUUCAAAUGUAGGAUGAAUUCCAUCAAGCAAGAGAUUGAUAGACCAUCCAUGUUCUUUCCAAAGCUCAUCUUCUCUAGAAACUGAGAAUGGAUAUGCUUUAACACCCCAAAUCAACACCAUAUCCAUGGCAUUCAUGUUGACGAACCUCCCGUUAGAAUCGAUAACAACCAACAUUGCUUCGUUAUCUUUAUAAUGCCAUUCUUGUUUGAAAAAGUUGAGUAUUGUGGAGCUCAUCAACCAUGGUUGCCUUACUGAGAUCCAUGGUAAGGAAUUGGAGUAGAAAUCGAAGAUUUCUUUCUCUUCGUCUGUCCAUUUUUGGGAUGAUGGUAUUGGAACCCAUAUGAUCUCGUAGUUUUGUUCUGUGUUGGUGUUAGAUGGAUGAUCGUAUAGCUGUUGGAGUAGGAAGAAAAGUGGCUCUACUGGUGGCUUUGAUAAUAGCAGUAGUGUUACCUUAUCUUGUACCUCAGUUAUAGAUAUCUGCCAUUGGGUGAAUAAAGAAUAUUCAAUGCUAUUGCAAUUUUGCAAAGAUAAAAGAAUCGGUCUAUGUAUCGUCAUACGGAAUGUCGGAGCUCAUCUUUAUGUAAAGUUAAAGACGAGACAUGAAAGAAACAAUAAGAAGGAACAUGGAAAAAGAAAAAUAGAUAGUUCUUUAUACCUGUCUGGAGUAUUGUUGAAGUGGCAAAUCAUCUUGUAGAGAAAAAAGUAGGUGGAGUACGUCUUGGUUGUCUUGAUGAGUCUCUAUGUUAAUGUUUCUAAGCCUUUGAUUGAUUUCUUCCUCUUUAGAUAUAACAACAGAGGAGCAAUAUCAGAGAUCGAGUUUUGCUUUUAGUAGAAAGUUGUGAUUAUGGAACUUAACAUCAGAAGAUUUGAAAGUUACCUAUUUGUGUGCUGCAAUCUUCUACCUGCUUGUUGAGGCGGGUGUGUAUGUUCAGCAACUGAUAUCCCAAACUAGACAGUUCUCCUGCUGCUCUCCUUGAUUCAAUUGAAAGUUCCGCUGCUGUUUUCCUUGAUUUUUUUGCCUACGUAUUUCAGAGAAUUCCUAGUCAUGAGAAAACUCAAUGUUGACUGCUAAUAUGCUGGAAACAAUUUCUGUGUGUCUGGUUCUUCAUUUUGCAGAGAAGAUAUAAGAAGGGUGAAAAUUUGCACCUGCUGCGUUUGCUUGAAAUAAGGGAUCUGCUGCAUGCAUGUGAGUGCACUUUUGACAACCCGAUAAGUAGUCAGAUAGAUGUUAGACAAGGUUUCUCCCAAAAUGUUGUUGUCUAGCUUCGCUUGUUUAAAUGGAAUUUUUUCAAAUUUGAUGAUGCAUUUGGUUACAUCCACCAUGGCUUUAAUGAGCAAGUUUAGAGACUCUAACCACGGUCUGAACUUGGUUCUCUCAAUAGGCAACUGGUUGAGUUUUGCAAUUGAUGCUGCAACGGGAUCACAGAUGGCCAGAUGAACUGGUAGCAAUAGUCCUCCAUAUGUUGCGGCAAGGACUCCUAGUACUAACACAGCUUUUGCAUCCCAUCUGUAUUCCUUGAGAAGAUCAAACAAAACCAUUGUCCUUUUCCGGAUCUCAUUUUCCCCAGUACAUGGACAAAGCAUCUGCAACCUCAAGAGUUUCACAAUUUCGGGUCUUUCAGAAAGAGUUUAUUUGAGAAGAAAGGAUGAUCAGUUUACCUGAACGGAGAUUCUGAAGAUAGCGUAUGGUAGUGUUUCCUUUGAGUCAAAAACUUCAAUGGUGGUGAUACAAUUCUCUGUCAGAAGCGGUCUAGAAACCUGAAAGUUUAGUGGCAUUGUUAUUGGCCAGAAUCAAGACAACUCUUUGAAGAAUUGGACCCCAAGGGAUGGAUAUAGCUCACAUCAUUUUGCAGAACAAAGCUUAAGAUGGUUUCGACUUCUUGAAGCAGCAUUUCGGAAUCAAGCCAGCGACCGUCUGGAUCAUGGCUACGAAGUAGCUGCUCAACUAUGAUGUCUUCAUUCAGAGCAGAGAUGUCGCGUCGGAAAUUCAUGGUAAAUGGUUGUUGUUCUAAAAAGACUCUACUUUGAAUAUGUAUUUACUAAACACAAAACAGCUUUGUCUCUUUGGUUUGCGUGAUAAAAAUAUUAGUAGGGUCCCUGAAACUAAAGAUUGUUGAGCAAUAUGACUGGAAUCUUAUUCAAAG